GUCAGGAUGGCCGAGUGGUCUAAGGCGCCAGACUCAAGGUUAACAACCUUCCUUACAAAGGAGUAUUCUGGUCUCCAAAUGGAGGCGUGGGUUCAAAUCCCACUUCUGACA